CAGAGGCAGCCAUAAUCCCCUUGGGAACACAACUCUGUUGGCCUAGGAACCAUACUCCCAUCUGUCAUGGCAGCUGCAGCAAGCCUCACCCAAGGAGAGUCUGGCUGGAGGCCAAACAACACAAAACCAGCACACUUAACAAAAAUAUAACCAAUGACCCUUGCAGAGUCCACUUAACUCCCCUCCACCAGAGCAGGUGCUGGUAUCCACAGCUGAGAGACCUGAAGAUGGAUCACAUCACAGGACUCCUUGCAGACAUUCUCCAGUACCAGCCCAGAGCCUGGUAGGUCUGUUGGGUGGCUAGACCAGUAUUCUAAGUGAAGUAACUCGGAAAUGGAAAACCAAACAUCAUCUGUUCUCACUCAUCAGUAGGAGCUAAGCUAUGAGAACACAAAGACCUGUCCACGCUGAGUUUAUAGCAACUGUCAAUUACGGUUCAGAUUUUCCUACCCCAGCGUGACUUUCCAAAGAGGCUUCUGCUCAUGGAUUUCUGCUCCAGGAAGAUGCAACAGGAAGGUCCUCACAAGAUGGCUGAACAGAUGCAGGUGCUGUGCCUCUGGACUGCCUAGCCUCCAGAACUGAUACAUAUGCAGGAUGUGCAGCUUUGUUACACAGGAGGUGUUGGAAGCUGUGAAUGUGGAUGAAAGUACCAAUAUAGAGAGAACAGAGUGAGAAUAGAAGACAGCCCAAGAAUCUAAAGUCAUGCACUUGCAAGGGAGUCAGAGGAAGAGAGGGAAAAUGGUUCAUUGUUUCCAUCAUGUACUCUAUGGAAUACAAAGCUCUGAAACCUGUUGGCUACUGGAAGUGUACAAGAAAAAGACUCUCAAGCUAGAGGUGGGGUAGAGCUGGAGCCAGCCAUGUCAAGAUCUUUCGAGGACAUGAACAUUUUUUAUGCUUAUUAAAAGAUGAUGUGGUUUUAAAAUAAAUCUAAGGCUGGGCGCAGUGGCUCAUGCCUGGAAUCCCAGCAGUUUGGGAGGCUGAGGCGGGUGGAUUGCUUGAGCUCAGUAAUUCAAGACCAGCCUGGGCAACAUGGCAAGAAACUCUCUCUACUAAAAACAGAAAAAUUAAGUACGUGUGGUGGUGCAUGUCUG
rnacentral:lncRNA from 1 species